CCUACGGGAGGCUGCAGUGGGGAAUAUUGCACAAUGGGGGAAACCCUGAUGGUGCGACGCCGCGUGGGGGAAUGAAGGUCUUCGGAUUGUAAACCCCUGUCAUGUGGGAGCAAAUUAAAAAGAUAGUACCACAAGAGGAAGAGACGGCUAACUCUGUGCCAGCAGCCGCGGUAAUACAGAGGUCUCAAGCGUUGUUCGGAAUCACUGGGCGUAAAGCGUGCGUAGGCUGUUUCGUAAGUCGUGUGUGAAAGGCGCGGGCUCAACCCGCGGACGGCACAUGAUACUGCGAGACUAGAGUAAGGGAGGGGGAACCGGAAUUCUCGGUGUAGCAGUGAAAUGCGUAGAUAUCGAGAGGAACACUCGUGGCGAAGGCGGGUUCCUGGACAGUAACUGACGCUGAGGCACGAAAGCGUGGGGAGCAAACAGGAUUAGAUACCCCAGUAGUC
rnacentral:rRNA from 1 species